UUGCAAGCCUUCCAGCAUGUUUGGUUUUAGGAUAACUCAGUGCAUUCCUGCAGUGCUUGCUAAAAUGUUCUGAAAUGAUUUGAAGCUUUGCUCUGGCUCUUCCUUAGAGCCUGGUCAUAGACAUUUCAGAUCGUU